rnacentral:lncRNA from 11 species
GCGGGGACUUUUUAACGUUGCUUUCUUUCGCCAUUGAGGGCGGGCGAAGGACAACAGUCAGCUGACGCAUGCGUAGUGAGUGUGUUAGGGCGGUGUUUAGUGGCGCCGCCCGCGGGAAAAUUUGAACGGCAACGCGAGAAAGCGCCAAAUGGGAGAGAGAUGGAUUCUUCGUUACUCUUGUGAAUUAUAAAAUAAUACAACAUGGCAAAACGCGAGGCUUUUCUACAAGCUGUACUUAAUGGUGCCACUGAUGACUUCUUGCAUUUCAUCCAGCUUCAUAAGGAUGCCACUGAUCCGUUUGACCUGAACGAGCGGCUUCAAGAAAUGUCAAGGAAACAGAAAGAAGCAUUAUGGGAGAAGUUAAAGCAAAUGUUAGCCCAAGUUCUGGUAGAAGAUCCGGUAGAAGCAUGGCAGAAAAGUACUGAAGAUGAUGAGGAUGACAUGGAAACUCAAACAGCUUCUAAAAAGGAACACUCCAUAGCUGUGAUUCAAGGUGUGACAACUGUAGUCACCACUUCCAUACCUAUAGUAGAUGAAAAUAUAAACUACACAUCCCUUUUAGAAUGUGCUUUGAUAUUAAACGGUAUGUAUUUUCUGUGAUAACUUAUACAACACUUUUGGUCUGUUGUUUAUAUGCUUUUUCCUUGUUGCUUUUGCCUGAAAUGUUAGUGGGGUGGGAAUAAUUAUUAAAGCUUUAAUCCAUCCUUGCUCAGGAUGUAUUGUCGAAGGCUUUCAUGGCCAGAAUCACUAGGUUGCUGUGAGUUUUCCGGGCUGUAUGGCCAUGUUCCAGAAGCAUUCUCUCCUGACGUUUCGCCCACAUCUAUGGCAGGCAUCUUCAGACAAGAAUUCUUUCUCCCACCAUGGACAUUCCACAGAUAUAUAAACUUCACUUGCCUAGUUUCCAACAGGCCUCACAACCUCUGAGGAUGCCUGCCAUAGAUGUGGGCGAAACGUCAACAGAAAAUGCUUCUGGAACAUGGCCAUACAGCCCGUACCAUUAUGGUGCAUCUUUUAAAAUAUAUAUACUUUAUCCUGUAUAUAGUAUGAGCCCUUUCCCUGCAGGGAUACAUUCUUGAAGUUUACAAUGGAAACAAUAAGCUGUGGAUAAUAGUGAAAUCCUAUUGA